UAUUGGAAAGAAGAUUUGUCAAAGGU
rnacentral:sRNA from 1 species